rnacentral:rRNA from 1 species
UACGUAGGGGGCUAGCGUUGUCCGGAAUCAUUGGGCGUAAAGAGCGUGUAGGCGGUCCGGUAAGUCCGCUGUGAAAGUCGGGGGCUCAACCUUCGAAUGCCGGUGGAUACUGUCGGGCUAGAGUGCGGAAGAGGCGAGUGGAAUUCCUGGUGUAGCGGUGAAAUGCGCAGAUAUUGGGAGGAACACCAGUGGCGAAGGCGGCUCGCUGGACCGGUUCUGACGCUGAUGCGCGAAAGCGUGGGGGAGCAAACGGG